rnacentral:lncRNA from 1 species
AGAACACAUUUUGUGGACCAACAAAAAAUAAAAGGAAGCUUAAUCCCAUGUUGCAGGCCGUCUAAUAUAGUAAUAUUCAUCUCUCUCAAAUUCAAGUAAUUUUCUUAUUCAACUCAAUCAAUGGGCGAACUCCAAAUCAAACGCCCCUUUACUCUUCCUCCUCGGCCUCUACCUCCUCUGUCUUCAUCAGGUGAUGACCCUCCUUCUCCGGUGUCUUCGUCACGUGUCGAAAGCCUCCCGGCUCCUGCAAAUCCACUCUCUUCCUUUGAUCGCAGCAGAGGUAAAUUAUCUCUCUAUCUCUCUCUCUCUCUCUCUCUGUUAGUCUUUCAGAUUUUCUUAAUUUUGUGAUUUGCUGAUUUGUGCCCAAGAUUCGAUUUUGGUGAUAUAUGAGCAAACCUUUUGUAAUUUCUGGAAAGCGCCGGUGCUGGGUUGAAAUGGCCUUUUGUUUUCUUGAAUUGUUCGGAGGUGGAUAAUGUGCUGAUUGUUUUAUUUUCAGUAUCUUUUGAAGUUAGAAACUUGAAAUCUAAUCACUUAUUGUAAGAUUUAUUUUAUCCGUUUAAUUUUCUUUUCUAUUCCUAGGAUGUUGGUGUGUUAAUGUUUGUUCUGGUUAGAUUGAGCUUGUGUAACUGGUACGUCUGUAAUAUAGUGGAUUUGAUUGGUUUUGUUUCGGAUGAACUUUUAGUGCACAUGAUUGUAGAUGCUUGAAAUCUACAGUGACAUUAUGGAGUGCUGUUAUCAUGAAUAUGCUGGAAUUGAUAGGGUCAAUAUCCUGUCAUACUCUUAUGAUUGAGCUAGAUUGAUACAUAAGAUGUCCAGCCUCAGUGAGUGCAAGUGUUUGCUUAGGGUUGAAUGUCUGUGUGUAAACUAGGCAUCACAGUUUAUAAACGUUUAACAACUGACAUUUGAGGAGGGUGUCCUUGUGUCGAUGUUGCAUGAUCUCUGCUUCAUAGGACAUGUGGUUGAUGGUGGGAUAUGAAAUGGGCCCCAUGUGUCUAUUCCUGCUUCACCAAGGUUUUUUGGAGGAGGCAGCUUUAAUGCUUAUUACAUCGACUUGGUCAUGAAUUCGUGCAUGUUUGGCCAAGCUUAUUAUUCACAUUUUGUAGGAUACACAACUACUAUCCACUUAUUAACCACAAAUUCUGUAGGUUCCACCGUUUAUAAUCCUGGUUAAGGUCAAGGAUAAAGUGUGUUCCAAUAGGGUUUGAGCAUUUUGGUCAAUUUCCUCUGUUACUUUGCUCUGUUGUGUAUAGUUUUACCCAUGUGUCAUGUGGAGCACAAACAACCAGACUUCUAGUCUGGGGAUGGCACACCAGAUGCAAAUAGGUGAUGUCUGGCCAGGGGACCCUUUAGCUAUCCUUGUUUGAGACUGGUUGACUGGUCUCAUCCACUUGGAAAUUCAUGUAAAAGCUGCUAUUUCUACUUCUGAACAGAGUUUCCUCUGCCUUGUUGCUCUUAUUGCAUCGAACUAGAAUAGUCCCCUCAAUCCUACCUUCAGCUGCACAGUAAGUUAUUGGAUCAGUUUUGGUAAGUCACCCUGUCUUGUCUAUCUUCCACUUUAGUUUUGUGUAGGGUCUAUGGUCCAUAUCUGAUUUAUCCUCUACAGUGAUUUCUUCUACUUGAAAAGUUGGGAAGCAGUAUCCUGGGAAUAAAAAAAGUCUCUUGUGGUUUUUGUUUUACUCUAUAACUUUUAUAAAGGCUGGAUGACAAUAUAGUUGAGGAUUCAGUAAUAUUCUCUUGAAGAAGCGAAGUAAGGCAAAACUUACGAGAUAUUCAACUGCAACCAGAAGUGGCCUAUUAACGUAGGAAACUAAAGUAUUCAAGAAAGGAGAGAUUUUGUUUAUGGAAAACUGGGAGACUGUUGUGUUUAUAAAAUUAUUCUGAUGGAUUUGUUUGAACAAAAUAAUGAGUUCUUUGGUGUGAAAACAACAGGCAUGGGAAUGACAUAUAUUUGUGUUUGUAGUACAAAGAGAAAUAAAUGUUCGUUAAUUGAAACUAUGUGCUACAUCUUGCAAACAUGAUCUUUUCCAUCCUUCUUUUGAAGUGAUUGGUAUUUUUAACAUGAGAAUGGAGUAUAUUUGGGUUUGUUGUGCAAAGAGAAUUAAAAAAUGUCUUAAUUGAAACUAUGUGCUACAUCUUGCAAACAUGAUCUUUUCCAUCCUUCUUUUGAAGUGAUUGGUAUUUUUAACAUGAGAAUGGAGUAUAUUUGGGUUUGUUGUGCAAAGAGAAUUAAAAAAUGUCUUAAUUGAAACUAUGUGCUACAUCUUGCCGCACACUUGACGUAUUCCUUGCUUUUGAAGUGAUUGGCAUUAUUAGAAGGAAGGCCUUGAUUAAAGACCUGGCUGCUGUUUACCAAGCUGAGUGCCUCACAUACUGUCGAGAACUCUUAGGACUCCAAAGUAAUGUUGAUGAGGUACGAAGUUUCACGUUACAUAUUUUCUUUUUUCUUUUUUGUCUCAAUCAUGCUUUAGUUUAGCUCUUUUUGUACCCUGUCGAUUUUCUUAACUGGAAAAAUUGAUUUCAUUUAUUGGAAUGAGAUGUUUACUAAGCAUCAACAUACCUCUGUUAUUCAUUGGCUCAAUAAGUUAUUGCUCCUAAAUUUACAAGCUGAUCCAUCUUUUAUUCAUUGGGAUACUUCUCGACUAUUCCUGUUCUCCUUUGUGUUGAUCAGAUUCAAUGCAUGAUUUAUUUUACAGUUUCACGGCAUAUGGUAUACAAGAUUUCUAUUGUUCAGCACUGUACCGUUUAGCAAGAUGGACUUUAUAUCUUCGAAAGGAAUUAUAUUUUUUAUUACUAGAUGGAUAUAUAAGACUAUAAGCAGGUUUCUUUCCGAUGAAGCUGAGGCUGUGAUUCUAGAAGCAUACUGCUGCUUGAUAGAUGCCCUACAAUGAUAAAAUUUGUAUAUUAAAAUCCUACAUGUCAGGCAUUUAGUUUGAUUCUCAAAGUGCCCUGACUCCUAAACGGAGAGUAUAAGACACUCAGGGGCGUAGGGAGCAGUGGGCAAGGCCCAGCCCUUCCUCCCAAAAUUUGUUUUGCCCCUCCUGGCUCCACCCCUGAAGACACUAGUAAGCUACCAAUC